ensembl:snRNA U6 U6 spliceosomal RNA
CUGCUUCCUUCUGCAGCACAUAUAAUAAAAUUGGAAAGACAAAGAGAUUAGCAUGGUCCCUCAGCAAGGAUGACACUGUGAAGUGUUCCAUAUUUUA